GAUGAACGCUGGCGGCGUGCCUAAUACAUGCAAGUCGAGCGAACAGACGAGAAGCUUGCUCCUCUGACGUUAGCGGCGGACGGGUGAGUAACACGUGGAUAACCUACCUAUAAGACUGGGAUAACUUCGGGAAACCGGAGCUAAUACCGGAUAAUAUAUUGAACCGCAUGGUUCAAUAGUGAAAGACGGUUUUGCUGUCACUUAUAGAUGGAUCCGCGCCGCAUUAGCUAGUUGGUAAGGUAACGGCUUACCAAGGCAACGAUGCGUAGCCGACCUGAGAGGGUGAUCGGCCACACUGGAACUGAGACACGGUCCAGACUCCUACGGGAGGCAGCAGUAGGGAAUCUUCCGCAAUGGGCGAAAGCCUGACGGAGCAACGCCGCGUGAAUGAUGAAGGUCUUCGGAUCGUAAAACUCUGUUAUUAGGGAAGAACAAAUGUGUAAGUAACUAUGCACGUCUUGACGGUACCUAAUCAGAAAGCCACGGCUAACUACGUG
rnacentral:rRNA from 1 species